rnacentral:misc_RNA from 1 species
UAUGCAUCCAACGCGUUGGGAGCUCUCCCAUAUGGUCGACCUGCAGGCGGCCGCGAAUUCACUAGUGAUUUCCGUAGGUGAACCUGCGGAAGGAUCAUUACUGAAAAACUAUUUUAAGUUUUUUAUAUCCCAUUGUUUACUUACCCUGUUGCUUUCACUGGACAGAUUUCACCUUGUGUGGGUCCUUUGGCUUGUGUGAAAUACCACUUGCCAAAGAGUUGCCAGUGGUAAGACCUAUUUAUCAAAACUUGAGUUUCAAUAAACACAACUGUCUGAAUAUUUUUUUUCUUUAAUGAAAUAAAACUUUCAACAACGGAUCUCUAGGNUCUUGCAUCGAUGAAGAACGCAGUGAAAUGCGAUAAGUAAUGUGAAUUGCAGAAUCUCGUGAAUCAUUGAAUCUUUGAACGCACAUUGCGCCCUAUGGUAUUCCAUUGGGCAUGCCUGUCUGAGCGUCAGCUCCCCCUCCACUCAAGAAUUAUUUUAUAUGAUACUUGGAUUACUUUGGAGAUGUAACUGUAUAUUAAGUUGCCCUCCAGAAAUUCAUUGGCAGUAUGGUUUGUACUUGGACCAGACGUAAUAGUAAUAAAAUCGUUUGUUUGGGUAUAAUUGAAUUGUACUUGCCUUAACCCCCACCCAUUUUUAUUUUGGGUGACCUCAGAUCAGGUAGGGAU